rnacentral:lncRNA from 1 species
AAAAAAGAAAAUGGCUGUUAUGGGAUAUAGUGAUUCCUUGAUUCCAGCUGCCUUAUGUGAGCAGGGAAUGCAGACGUAAUAUUGUCAGAUCUUCUGAUUUUUUUCAAGAGAAACCAGAAAUCCAGAUUUUUAUGGGGAUGGCAACUGAUUUUUAAGUACUGGCUCAAAUUCAAUAAUUUUACAAAGUUGUUCAGGCCAAAUAAAACAUUUUUCUGGGGUGCCACUUUGUGACCUUUGAUUUAGCCCAGAAUAAAUUGUUUGUUUGCAGCCUGAACUACCUUUGGGAUAACCAGUUCCUAAGAGCCAUAUGAAAUAAUAUUUCCUUUUACUUGUACUGAAAUAACCUCUGUUGAAUAACAAGAAUCUUUCCUUACUUGAAUGCUUAGGAAUUUGUAGUUCCCAAUACAAUCUCACAGAUUUCAGUUGUAUCUCAUAUUAAUUGUCUCCUUCUCAGACAGAAGUUGAGAUGAAUGAAAUAGUCACAAAGCCUGAGACCAGUGUUCUGGUAUUGACUUGCUUCCCACAGUACUUAAUGAAAAUAAUUGUUUUUUUCUUUUAGGUCUAAGUAAGUGUCUUAAUGGCUGUAAUUUACUUGUGUGAACCCAGAAAAUCUGAGACAGGUCUCAGUUUAUUUAGAAAGUUUAUUUUGCCAAAGUUGUGGACAGCCUGUGACACAGCCUCAGUAAGUCCUGAUGACAUGUGCCCAAGGUGAUCGGGGGACAGCUUGGUUUUAUACAUUUUAGGGAAACAUGAGGCAUUAAUCAAUAUAUGUAAGAAGUACAUUGAUUCUGUAUGGAAAGGCAGGACAACUUGAAGCAAAGUCAGGAAGUGGGGAAGGAGCUUCUAGGUCACAGAUAGGUGAGACACAAAGGGUUGCAUUCUUUUGAGUUUCUGAUUAGCCUUUCCAAAGGAGGCAAUCAGAUAUGCAUCUAUGUCAGUGAGCAGAGGGAUAACUUUGAAUAGAAUGGGAGGCAAGUUUGCCUUAAGCAGUUUCCAGCUUGAGUUCUCCUUAGUGAUUUUGGGGGCCCAAGAUGUUUUUCAUUUCACACUUGUAAAUACUGCAGCAUUGACAAUGGAAUGCUGUGUACCUGCUAGUCAAAUUAAGCUUCAAUUCCAAGGGCAAGCUACACCCCAGGGGUGUCAGCUAGUUUUAUAUCUGAAAGGCUAUUCAAGGUGCCCCUUAGAAAUUGCUUGAGUCAUCUAUAUUUUGAUUGAUAGCAGAUACUUUGCUAAUCAGCACAUGAAUAUCAGAAAUUGGUUUUAUUUUGUGGUGAAAUCAGUGGGUUGGUAAUUAGCAUGAGACAAUGAUAGAAAAGGGCUCACUGAUGAAAUUAAAGAGAAUCAAGAUAUGUGAAUAUGCUAACAUAUUUGAGAGGCCCUGCUCAUUUGCCUGAACAGGGUGUAAGAGUCUAUUGAGGCCUUUAGCAUGCCCCUAUAAAGAUGGUGCAAGACCCUGGACUCUGAACCACUCCUGUAUCCAGAUAUUGCUUUAGAAGAGUUUCUGGUUGCCUGAUGCUGACCACAGAGAUAAUUAAAUCCUGUCUCUGAAAUGUUGGUUCUCUUCCUGCGGACCAUUCAUGUCAUGUAGUCAUUAAAUCAUUUAAAAGGACAUAAGCUGGGACUUCAUGAAACCUACAGAGUGGGUUGUAUAAAAUGUUCUGUGCCUAAUGGUCCAUGAAUACUGGCUUAAUAAAUGUCUUUGAGUGGGGCAGAAUUUUGCCUGGGGCCUUCUUUUAUUACAAGUUGAUAGCAAUGUAGGAAAUGAGCAGCUUAAUCUUACCCACUACCAAACAUCUUGAGCUACUGCCAUAAACUGAAAGUAACAGGCUAGUUCCCAAAAAUGAAACAAUGGAGGAGCCAAUUGUUCCUAGGCUACAAACUUGUAUAGCAUGUUACUGUACUG